rfam:Zunongwangia atlantica 22II14-10F7 contig16, whole genome shotgun sequence.
CAAGCAGGUCGGCCCUAUCGCUAAGCUCAUAUUUGUGGUUUAGAGGAAAGUCCGGACACCAUAGAGCAGCAUAGUGGGUAACGCCCACCGGUCGUGAGGCCAGGACAAGUGCAACAGAAAGAAUGUACAGGUAAUGCUGUAGUGAAACCAGGUAAACUCUAUGCGGUGCAAUGCCAUGUAAACCAAUAUUAUCAAAUUGCUCGUUUGUCGUUGGAGGGUAGGCAGCUAAAGGGCUUUGGUAACAAAGUUCUCAGAUAAAUGACAAGGGCAUCCUGAUGUAUUUCAGGGUGAACAGAAUCCGGCUUACAGACCUGCUUUUUUA